GCGACUGUGGUGUAGUGGUAGCAUGUUCGCUUUGGGAUUCGUCUAUUGCGAAUGGUCCGCGGUUCAAUCCCGUGCUGUCGCC
rfam:Trichosporon oleaginosus strain IBC0246 unplaced genomic scaffold CC85scaffold_61, whole genome shotgun sequence.